GAUGAACGCUAGCGGCAGGCUUAAUACAUGCAAGUCGAGGGGCAGCAGUCCCGCAGCAAUGCGGGAGCUGGCGACCGGCAAACGGGUGCGGAACACGUACAGAACCUUCCUUCGAGCGGGGAAUAGCCCAGAGAAAUUUGGAUUAAUACCCCAUAGCAUUACGAAGUGGCAUCACUUUUGUAAUUAAAGAUUUAUCACUCGAAGAUGGCUGUGCGGCUGAUAGGUAGUUGGCGGAGUAACGGCCCACCAAGCCUUCGAUCAGUAACUGGUGUGAGAGCACGACCAGUCAC
rnacentral:rRNA from 1 species